AUCACAGAAUAGGAAGGUAUAGCAGAAGCGUAACUCAAGCAAGUAUUUGUCCGCGUUUUUACAAGCGAUUCGUCAUCAAUCACGCCAUCCUGGCUAGUACAACCGGCACUUUGUACCUAGCAAAACCAUAGAGAUUAUAAAUAACACUAGAGGAGGCAUCGAGUUUAAAAAUUGGGAACGCAGCUAAUGGGGGGCAAAUUCAAGUCCCGGAUAUAAAAUCGUACUCUCAUUGGCUGAUUUGAAACUCGUCACCAAUGGGAACACGAAUACACAUCCGGGACUUGAAUUUGCCCCCCAAUAGUCGCGUUCCCUUUUUUACUGAAUUAAGAUUACAGUGCCUCCUCUAGUGUUAUUUAUAAUCUCUAUGCGUA
rnacentral:lncRNA from 1 species